CCAGAUUUGUCCCUUAGUUGCACUAGAAGCAUUAGUUUCAUUGUCUUAUAGUUGCAUACAGGUUCUUUUACCUGACAGAGCUCUUGGCUGGGAAACCAUGGAGCCAGGGUACAGCUCUGUGAUUGAAGCCCCAGCAUUCAGCCUACAUCCCUGGCCCUUUGUCUGAGUGGCUCGCUGAUUGUUUUCACCUGCUCACUGCCUAUAACUACGCCGUGCUGACUCACUGAUGAUGGCCACUUCUACUGACAGCAGACACCGCUGUUGAUGUUGACGGAGAUGUUGCGGUGUAAGGGACGUCAUGCCUAGUCUGCUAGGCAAGAGGCA